rnacentral:rRNA from 1 species
UACGUAGGGGGCGAGCGUUAUCCGGAAUUACUGGGCGUAAAGCGCACGCAGGCGGUUCGCCAAGUUUGGAGUGACAGUUGUCGGCUCAACCGACAAAGGACUUCAAAAACUGGUGAACUUGAGGACGAGAGAGGAACAUGGAACUCCGGGAGUAGCGGUGAAAUGCGUAGAGACCCGGAGGAACACCGGUGGCGAAGGCGGCUUCCUGGUCUGCAACUGACGCUGUGGCGCGAAAGCUAGGGGAGCAAACGGG